rnacentral:rRNA from 1 species
GACGUAGGGCGCGAGCGUUGUCCGGAUUUAUUGGGCGUAAAGCGCUCGCAGGUGGUUCGUUGCGUCGUGCGUGAAAGACCCCGGCUCAACUGGGGGAUGUCGUGCGAUACGGGCGGACUGGAGGCCAGUAGGGGGAUGCGGAAUUCCUGGUGUAGCGGUGAAAUGCGCAGAUAUCAGGAGGAACACCGGUGGCGAAGGCGGUUCUCUGGGCAUUACCUGACGCUGAGGAGCGAAAGUGUGGGGAGCGAACAGG